GAGCUCUUCUACGGAAGCAGAAGAGUCAUUAAAUCCAAGGAGGAUGGAAGAAAGCUCUUCAAGGAACUCCUCACCAAUCGGGGGGGGCAUUCGGGCAUCCUGAAAACACGCACUGCAAUGUGCUCCAGAUUUUACUGGCUUGGCAUGUCCGUUGAUAUUGACAACUGGGUAUUGGAAUGUGAUGAAUGCCAGAAAGUUGGAAAGCCUUUGACUGCUACACAGUCGUUAGACUGUAUAGAGGUGUCUGCUGUCUGGGAGCUCAUUGGCAUUGAUCUCACAGGCCCUCUUCCAGAAACCGCAAAUGGC